AUUCUUCUUUAAUCAAUCCUGUAAAGAAACAAAAACUCUUUCUCUCCUAAUCGACGAUACCAUCGAUGAUUUGACCCUCAUUAAAAUUCAAUUAAUAAUUAGUUUUAAAAUUUUUUCUCUAUGUUCUAUAGAAGGAGCAUGCAUUCCCCUUUAAUCCUAUAUCAAAUAAACAUUUUCUGAUCACAACGAACAAAGCUAUUGAAGCUUAAUCAUA